UACGUAGGGUGCGAGCGUUUGUCCGGAAUUAUUGGGCGUAAAGGGCUCGUAGGCGGUUUGUCGCGUCGGGAGUGAAAACCCAGGGCUUAACUCUGGGCUUGCUUUCGAUACGGGCAGACUAGAGGUAUGCAGGGGAGAACGGAAUUCCUGGUGUAGCGGUGAAAUGCGCAGAUAUCAGGAGGAACACCGGUGGCGAAGGCGGGUCUCUGGGCAACAACGUGACGCUGAGGCAACGAAAGCGUGGGUAGCAAACAGG
rnacentral:rRNA from 1 species